rnacentral:rRNA from 1 species
GACGAACGCUGGCGGCGUGCUUAACACAUGCAAGUCGAGCGGUAAGGCCCUUUCGGGGGUACACGAGCGGCGAACGGGUGAGUAACACGUGGGUGACCUGCCCUUAGCUCUGGGAUAAGCCUGGGAAACUGGGUCUAAUACCGGAUAUGACUCCAUGACGCAUGUUGUGGGGUGGAAAGCCUUGUGCGGCUAGGGAUGGGCCCGCGGCCUAUCAGCUUGUUGGUGGGGUGAUGGCCUACCAAGGCGACGACGGGUAGCCGGCCUGAGAGGGCGACCGGCCACACUGGGACUGAGACACGGCCCAGACUCCUACGGGAGGCAGCAGUGGGGAAUCUUGCGCAAUGGGCGAAAGCCUGACGCAGCGACGCCGCGUGAAGGAUGAAAUCCCUCGGGAUGUAAACUUCGCAAGAACGGGAAGAAUAAGCGAGAGUAAAUACCUUUCGCGAUGACGGUACCGUUUGUAAGCUCCGGCUAACUCCGUGCCAGCCGCCGCUGUAAC